UCAUCUCACACCCAAUACGGCUCCUUUCUGCAUAGAUGGCGUCCUCACAAACAGACCAAUCAAAGCCACCACAAUGAAAAACAUCCAGGGCACUGGGAUCCUGCGGGGAGCCAUUCCUCCUAGAGACCCACCUUCCCUGGGGGGAGCCCCUCCUGAGUCCGUGCAGGUAGCUGGGCGGCACUGGCUUGGUGCCCAUCAGAGGAACCUCAGAAGAGCAGCCAUAACCAAGAAGCCAGAGUCAUCACACAGAUCUUUUCUUUGGAAAUCAUAAAGUGAGAAAUGCCAACUGAGUAGAGAAAGGUUUUAUUCACCUUUGUAGUGAGGAGACCCAAGGGUUGAUCUACCCUGGAUGAGACAAACGUGGGAAAAGCCAGCUAUGAGGCCCCUUCAGUCUGCCAAUGCUCUGAUCAGUGUAGUGCUCCAGUUUGUACUGACCAAGGCCUCAGACAAUUACGCAUCCCCAAGCAGCUUGAGGACUGAGUGGCCUCCAGUGCUGUGUGGCAAGUCAAGCAAGCCAGGCAUGCUGGGGGGCGGAGGACGGGACCCAGCCAUCUUUCUCCAUCAAGUGCCACAUCCACCUGUUUACCUGGCUCAAUGACGCUGAAUGGGGAGAAUUGGGAGCAAGGACACCCCUGGACCACAGCCACCAGGAGGCUGACAAAACAGGGAGUGCCACCACAGCCUGGUAGGGGUGGUCACCGUGGGAGCGUGGAGUUGGUGCUAAAAACCUUGACAGCUCCAAGUCUGAACAACUCCUGUCUUGUCCAAGAGCCUCCACUGGGCCAGCUUGGAGAUCUAAAGUCUUACCAUCUACCCUUUAGUUGUCCUAAUGAACAGAGAGAGGAACAGAGGUGGGAGGGGUGACAAUGUCUGCAGAUACCCUCUUGAGACACAGAGAUGUUUUUCUGAAUCCCAGUUCAAAAACUAUUAUUUUUCCUUUCCCUGUGUCUAUAAUCAAAACUUUUCCCAGAUAAUUAAGGCUGAGAGGAGGCUAACAGCAGGUAAGCAGGCAGGUUUCAUAGAGCCAGGUGACAACUGAAGGCACAAAUCCUGGAAAGUAGGUAAGAAACGGCCCCAUAGAUGGUUCUAGAUCUAUUAUGACAGCUCCCACAGGGUGAAUUCCUCUCAAGAUUUACACAUGGUGCCCCUGAAAUGACUAGCUGGACCAGAGGCUCCAGACACACAGGCCAGGAUGUCAGGUGGCUGUUAUUUGCUCAGGACAACUCAGUGAUGAAACAUCAGAUUUCUGUGCUCUCUGAGCAAUCAUCUAUAAUUUCUUCCUACUAACAGUUAGCUCUCUCUGAUCAAAAGCAACAGCAUUCUACUCCAGCCAACAUAAAGCCAAUAGCAACUUGUAGAAAAGAUAAUGGAAUAGUUCAUGGAAUUGAGGGGAAACAUACAGAACAGGGGUUAGUGUUUCUUGGUUAAUUAAACUAAGUCAGGCUGGGCGCAGUGUCUCACACCUGUAAUCCUCUGGGAGGCCAAGGCAGUUUGAGACCAACCUGAGCAAGAGUGAGACACCGUGUCUACUAAAAAAUAAAAAAACAUUAGCCAGUAUCGUGGUGGGUGUGUUGCAGUGAGCUAUGACGAUGCCACUGCACUCUAGCAUGGGCAACAGAAUGAGACGCUCUCUAAA